UACGGAGGGUGCAAGCGUUAAUCGGAAUUACUGGGCGUAAAGCGCACGCAGGUGGCUGAGUCAGUCGAUUGUGAAAGCCCUGGGCUUAACCUGGGAAUUGCAGUCGAUACUACUCAGCUAGAGUAUGGGAGAGGGCAGUGGAAUUCCCGGUGUAGCGGUGAAAUGCGUAGAUAUCGGGAGGAACAUCAGUGGCGAAGGCGGCUGCCUGGCCCGAUACUGACGCUCAUGUGCGAAAGCGUGGGGAGCAAACAGG
rnacentral:rRNA from 1 species